UAGGGGGCGAGCGUUAUCCGGAUUUAUUGGGCGUAAAGCGUGUGUAGGCGGUUUAUUAAGUCUAAGAUUAAAGCCUGGAGCUUAACUUCAGUUCGUCUUAGAAACUGGUAGACUUGAGUGUGGUAGAGGCAAGUGGAAUUUCUAGUGUAGCGGUUAAAUGCGUAGAUAUUAGAAGGAACACCAGUGGCGAAGGCGACUUGCUGGGCCAUUACUGACGCUGAGACACGAAAGCGUGGGGAGCAAA
rnacentral:rRNA from 1 species